CCUACGGGAGGCAGCAGUGGGGAAUAUUGGGCAAUGGAGGCAACUCUGACCCAGCAAGGCCGCGUGAAUGAAGAAUGUCUUCGGAUUGUAAAGUUCUUUAAGUGGGGACGAAAAAAAUGACGGUACCCAAGGAAUAAGCUGCGGCUAAAUACGGGGCAGCAGCCGCGAUAAGAAGAAGGGGGGAAGCGUUGGUAGGAAUGACUUGGCGUAAAGGGUGUGGAGGCGGGGAAGCAAGUUAGAAGGGAAAUACCUAGAGCUUAACUCAGGUGCUGCUUCUAAAACUGCGAUACUUGAGUGCAGUAGAGGUAAGUGGAAUUCCUAGUGUAGCGGUGGAAUGCGUAGAUAUUAGGAGGAACAUCAGUGGCGAAGGCGACUUUCUGGACUGUAACUGACGCUGAGGCACGAAAGUGUGGGGAGCAAACAGGAUUAGAUACCCGGGUAGUC
rnacentral:rRNA from 1 species